UACGAAGGGGGCUAGCGUUGCUCGGAAUGACUGGGCGUAAAGGGCGCGUAGGCGGAUGGUACAGUCAGAUGUGAAAUUCCCGGGCUCAACCUGGGGGCUGCAUUUGAUACGUAUGAUCUUGAGUGGGGAAGAGGGUCGUGGAAUUCCCAGUGUAGAGGUGAAAUUCGUAGAGAUCGGGAGGAACACCAGAGGCGAAGGCGGCGACCUGGAUAGGUACUGACACUAAACUACGAAAGCGUGGGGAGCAAACAGG
rnacentral:rRNA from 1 species